UCUGGACAGAGGUACGCUGUCAGAGAGUGUUUACUUUGCCUCCACUUCUGUUCCUCCCCGCCCUGGUGCUGCUCCGGGUCACAUACUCGUCCUGAGCCAGCUUCAGCCUCUCCGCGCAGAAGUCUCCCGGAGCCAACUUCUGCGAGUCGAGUACUCUUAUGUGAAGUCUACCAAGCUCGUGUUCAAGGGAACCAAGGCGAAGCGGCGAGAUGGAAAGAAAGUAUCAAGGAGUGAACUGAAGCCACUGCCCUUGAGAACCCUCUCGAGGAGUCUGGGCUCAUGAAGAUGCCAGAAUAAGUGGCAGGUAUAUCCUGCAUGAAUGUGAGAUUUUUACUCUGUGAAUUUCCUGUGAGAAGUGUAAGAAGAAAAAGAGCAAAGAUAAGAAGAGAAAAAGAGAAGAAGAUGAAGAAACCCAGCUUGAUAUGUUGGAAUCUGGUGGACAGUAACAAACUUUGGUGAAAUUUCAGGAACCAUAGCCAUUGAUAUGGAUGAGGGAACCUAUAUACAUGCACUCGACAAUGGACUUUUUACCCUGGGAGCUCCACACAAAGAAGUUGAUGAGGGCCCUAGUCCUCCAGAGCAGUUUACGGCUGUCAAAUUAUCUGAUUCCAGAAUCACCCUGAAAUCUGGCUAUGGAAAAUAUCUUGGUAUAAAUUCAGGUGAACUUGUUGUUGGGCGUUCAGAUGCAAUUGGACCAAGAGAACAAUGGGAAACAGUCCUUAAAAAU